CAGCAGCCGCCGCGGUAAUACAGAGGGUGCGAGCGUUAAUCGGAUUUACUGGGCGUAAAGCGUGCGUAGGCGGCUAAUUGAGUCGGAUGUGAAAUCCCCGAGCUUAACUUGGGAAUUGCAUUCGAUACUGGUUAGCUAGAGUGUGGGAGAGGAUGGUAGAAUUCCAGGUGUAGCGGUGAAAUGCGUAGAGAUCUGGAGGAAUACCGAUGGCGAAGGCAGCCAUCUGGCCUAACACUGACGCUGAGGUACGAAAGCAUGGGGAGCAAACAGGAUUAGAUACCCGAGUAGUCCCUGUCUCUUAUAC
rnacentral:rRNA from 1 species